AUGCUGUGUUGCAUUGCACAGAGCUAUGCUACACAGCACCACACUGCAUUGCACAGCACCAUGUUGCAUUGCACAGCAUGGCACACACAGUGCUGCAUUGCACAGUACUGUGCACACUGCAUUGCAAAGCUCACGCUGUGUUGCAUUGCACAGCACACAUGGUGCUCCAUUGCACAGCAUGGCACACAUGGUGCGGCAUUGCACAACACAAUGCACACUGCAUUGCACAGCUCACACUGUUCUGCAUUACACAGUACAGCGCAGCAUGCACUGUGCUGCAUUGCACAACACAGAGCACACAGCUCACACCAUGUUGCAUUGCACAGCACGGCACACACCGUAGUGCAUUGCACAGCACACACUGUGUUGCAUAGCACAGCAUGGCAUGGCACACACGGAGCUGCAAUGCACAGCACAGUGCACACAGCACUGCACAGCACACGCAAUGUUGCAUUACACAGCACAGCACACACUGCAUUGCACAGCCCACACCGUGCUGCAUUGCACAGCAUGGCACAGCACACAUGGAGCUGCAAUGCACAGCACAGCACAAACUGCAUUGCACAGCACACGCAGCGUUGCAUUACACAGCACAGCGCACACUGCAUUGCACAGCAUGGCACAGCUCACACCGUAUUGCAUUGCACAGCACACAUGAUGUUGCGUUGCACAGCACACGUGGUGCUGCAAUGCACAGCACAGUGCACACUGCAAUGCACACCACAGCUCACACCGUGUUGCAUUGCACAGCACAGUGCACGCAGCAUUGCACAGCUCACACCAUGUUGCAUUGCACAGCACAGCCCACACUGUAUUGCAUUGCACAGCACAGUGCACACACCGUGGUGCAUUGCACAGUACACGCAGUGUUGCAUUGCACAACACAGUGCACACCGCAUUGCAUUGCACAGCACACAUGAUGUUGCAUUGCACAGCACAGUGCACACUGCAUUGCACAGCAUGGCACCGCUCACACCGUGCAGCAUCGCACAGCACACACACGCUGCUUUACUGCACAGCUCACCCCGAGCCCCCAGCACCCACCCCGCACGCGCACCCCCCAGGCCCCGCCCCUCCCCCUUUAGCCCCGCCCCCCGCUCUCUGGUCCCCCCCCCCCCCCCCCCCCCCGCUGCCUCCAAUAAGAGCCGUGGGGCGUUUCCCGCCGCCCUGCGGGGGCCGAGCCAAGAUGGCGGCGGCGGCGGCGCGGGGCGGGCCGGGGGCUGA
rnacentral:lncRNA from 1 species